rnacentral:rRNA from 1 species
AACGAACGCUGGCGGCAGGCUUAACACAUGCAAGUCGAGCGCCCCGCAAGGGGAGCGGCAGACGGGUGAGUAACGCGUGGGAACGUACCCUUUGCUACGGAAUAGCUCCGGGAAACUGGAAUUAAUACCGUAUGUGCCCUACGGGGGAAAGAUUUAUCGGCAAAGGAUCGGCCCGCGUUGGAUUAGCUAGCUGGUGGGGUAAUGCCUACCAAGGCGACGAUCCAUAGCUGGUCUGAGAGGAUGAUCAGCCACAUUGGGACUGAGACACGGCCCAAACUCCUACGGGAGGCAGCAGUGGGGAAUAUUGGACAAUGGGCGCAAGCCUGAUCCAGCCAUGCCGCGUGAGUGAUGAAGGCCUUAGGGUUGUAAAGCUCUUUCACCGGAGAAGAUAAUGACGGUAUCCGGAGAAGAAGCCCCGGCUAACUUCGUGCCAGCCGCCGCAGUAACAC